CACGCCGUCGGUAGGCGGCAGCGGCCACUGGCCGGACGGCGGACGCCCACGCGAGCAGGGACUGCACGCGCGGCGAGCAGCCGAGCAGGCAAGGCGCUGAGGUGUAUUGCAAUUUGCAAGACGCCAAGACGCAAGCCGCCGCCGGCAAGCAAGCGACAGCAAGCAACCAAGCACCUAGCGGCAGGUAUAUACUAAUAUACAUGUUCGUUUUCUUUAGAAUUUUCCUUUUAACUUCAACUUUGUAAUUUUUAAUUGUUUCAAAUUCUAUUAUAAGAUUUUAUAAAUUGCAGAUUG
rnacentral:lncRNA from 1 species